rnacentral:rRNA from 1 species
GACGAACGCUGGCGGCGUGCCUAAUACAUGCAAGUCGAACGCAGUGGGGACGGGUGAGUAACACGUGGGUAACCUCCCAUCAGAGGGGAUAACACUUGGAAACAGGUGCUAAACCGAUACUGAUGGAUGGACCCGCGGUGCAUUAGCUAGUUGGUGAGGGAACGGCUCACCAAGGCCACGAUGCAUAGCCGGCCUGAGGGGGUGAUCGGCCACCCUGGCACUGAGGCACGGCCCAGACUCCUACGGGAGGCAGCAGUGGGGAAUCUUCGGAAAUGGACGAAAGUCUGACCGAGCGACGCCGCGUGGGUGAAGAAGGUUUUCGGGUUGUAACGCUCUUUUGUUAGAGAGGCGGUAUCUAACCAGAAAGCCACGGCUAACUACGUGCCAGCAGCCGCGGUAAUAC